UGUUGCAUGGCUGUCGUCAGCUCGUGUCGUGAGAUGUUCGGUUAGUCCGCUAACGAGCGCAACCCUCGCUGUAUGUUACAUGUGUCAUACAGGACCGCCGGUAUCAAGCCGGAGGAAGUGGGGAUGACGUCAAGUCCGCAUGGCCUUUAUGUCCGGGGCUACACACACGCUACAAUGGUCGGUACAAUGGGUUGCUAAGCCGCGAGGUGGAGCCAAUCCCCCAAAGCCGGCCUCAGUUCAGAUUGCAGGCUGCAACUCGCCUGCAUGAAGCUGGAGUUGCUAGUAAACGCGCGUCAGCUAUAGUGCGUUGAAUACGUUCUCGGGCCUU
rnacentral:rRNA from 1 species